AAAGUAACCCCAUCAAACAAUUGUACUCAGAAAUUUGUCAAGUGUUUUCUUAAAACUAAUAAGUUGUUUGCCUCCUCAACUCCUGUUAGGAGGUUGUUCCAGAAUCUUACCUGAUGGUUAGAAACCUUCUAAUUUCAGCCUGAAUUUGUUCAUGGCCAGUUUAUAAAUAUGUGUACUUGUGCCAACAUUGUCCUUUUGCUUAAAUAGCUCUUUACUCUCCCUGGUAUACAUAACGAGCAAUCAUAGCUGUUCUCAGCCUUCUUUUUGUGAGGCUAAACAAGCCAACCUCUUACAGAGUCCUCUCAUGAGAUAGGCCCUCCAUUCUCCUGAUCAUCCUAGUAGCUCUUCUCUGCACCUGUUCCAGUUUAAAUUAAUCUUUCUUGAGCAUGGGUGAUGAGAAUUAUACACAGCAUUCCAAAUGUGGUCUUACCCAUGCCUUGCACAAUGGCAUUAAUACUUGUCUAUAUCACCUAAUGUUGUGUGCUCCCCAUCCUUUAGAUCGUGCUAGAAAAUGGCAUCUGUCUGCAAGAUGAAUUUCUUCAUGCAGCACUGGUUCUCUGCAGAAGAGCCGUAUGCUCUUCCAAAAAGCUUCUGCACAAGUGGAGAACCAAUGUAUGUACCUUCCAGGGUGUUUUACUGCACAAAAGGUAAGGUAUUAAUUAUCAUAGAUAAUAUGCUGCUAUCCCCAGGAAGGAUUUGACCUGCUGCAGUGGUUUUCAGGCCAAGGUUCAGUAAGCAGGCUUUUCAAACUUCUGCCCAUGCCCUGGUGAGAGGAGAAAAGAAAAGGACAAGGAACUUUCAAGGGGAUUGAGAGGGGUGAAUAGGUCACUUUUUACUUGUAUUGUGGGAGAAAGAACAACAGAGACAUGGAAGUGUGGAAAAAUGAAGAGGACAGGACAGAGAAGACCUGCAAAAUUGUUACACGGUCUUAGGGACCUGGACCUGCAGUGGUUACCAGGAACAGGAGGAGCUCAGGACCUUCACUGCUUUGGAACCAGCAACCAGGAGACUGCUGGUGUUGGUAAUCACUGGAACCAGAAACAAGGUAAAAGGAUGGAUUGACAGUUUUCAGUUCCCCAAGCAGUUUCCCACAACAGGUCUUCUGCGGAUAAGCCAGUAUGGCAAGUUUUGGCUCACAGUUUCAGUGGUUUGCAAAUGAUUUCAUCUUGAAAAUAUGGGAGUUACUCAACAAUUUGGAGCCAGAUUAUGAUCUGAGUUAUUAUGGAUUUAUUCUGGUGCAUCUCCGUUGAUUCUACCAAAAUUAUUCCUAAUUGACAACAGUAUUAUUUCCAUCAGAAUCUGGUGCAGUUUCCUAUCCGGUAUGGAAACUGGUGAUAAAGAGAAGACAAUGCUAGCUGAAAGGAAAAGUGCAUGCCUCUUUGUUGCAGCUAGAAGAAAUGAUUAAUUAUUCUACUUGUAAAGACACCUCAUGCUGCCUUUAUAGCCUAGGUUUGUAUCAAAGACCAUCCCUACUAAAUUACAGAAGACUAUAUAAAUGUAGAGCUCAUCUGUGCUGGGAAGGCUUGUAAAUACUUUUCUGCUUGGAUGCAAGCUACAUUAGUGCUAUUAAUGGUGGAAGUUGCAGUGUUAGUGUAAUGCUGACAGCGGGCCGGAUUGAACCGGGGACCUCUGGAGCUUAGUGCAUAAGCUGCUACCACAUGAGCUAAAAGCCAACUAGCUGUUAGCUAAGAUUGUAGAGCAGACUAAUUUUAACUCUCUCUUUCUAAGUGGUCUCAGUGCCACUAGAUGGGACAGAACACCACACCCAGGAGGUGUGUGGGUUACAUUAGCAAGGUGCAAGAAAACAACACUUUUUUAACACCCCCCCCAAACCCCCUGUGCCCCAUCUAUGUUGGAGUUGCAUCUGCGCAGAAAAAUAUGUAGUGGAGAGAAGACUUCAGAGGCGUCUUACUACUGCCUAGUCAAGAAUUACAAUUCACAAACAGUGUAAUUAGUUAUUUCAGGAGUGAAUCAGUAUCCCAUUAUGGUGUUGUGGCACUACUGAUGUAAAAUGAGUGGUCCUGAACACUUGUUAAACAGAUGUCUGUUUUUGAAAGCAUAGUGGGACUAAUCCCAGUGUUUUAGCCAUAUUCCAGCUAAAAUAAAUAUAUUCUCUUUAAAUUUGUCCUGUAAUUUAAAUGAACAUUAUACUGCUUUUCUUAUCCUACACUACUGUAUAAUGUUGUGCAAUGUUGAACUGCUUUUUUAUUCCAGAGAUGAGCAAAGUCAUUAAUAUAUGUGCUAUUAAAAUCUAAGAUGCUGAGACUGUAUUUCAGUAGCUUAAUUGUAUGAUAAAAACACUGAAAACUACUGGAAAAUCCUCAGAAUUAUUUUAUGAUUCUAUGCAUGAGGGAUCUAAAGAGUGAAUGUUUUGUGGCUUGAUGGUG